rnacentral:lncRNA from 10 species
UAAUAUAGAUGGCUUCUUUAUAAAAGGGGGGAAGAAUAUUCAGGCAAAGAGAACUCUUUGUGUGAGAUAGAGUUUGCAUAUUUGAGGAAUUGACUUACAAAUUUCAAGAUGUAAGAAAAUCCACAUUUGAUCAGAAUGCAACUCAUUUAUCCAUUCAAUCAUUUACAAAUAUUUAUUGACUGCUAUGUAGCAGAUCAGGGCACAGUGGCUGAGGACAUAUAGAAUCAGGAAGAAAUAAAGCAUAGCCACUGACUUGCUGUGUUCCUGUCUGUGAUCUCUGUUUGAAUUAUUUCAAGGAUUGAGUGACAUGGCUGCAAUUUCUCUAAUUUCCAUACCACCACAACCUUAAUAAAGUGAAUAGAAUUCUCAUGAACAUUAUUAUUAAUGUAGUUGCGAUUUUUAAGAAACAUUGCAUUUGACUGCAUUAUUUUACCAAAGCUUUAGCUUACCAGUUUAGAUAUUGUUCCCUCUUUGUUCAUAAACUGUUAUUAAGACUCUCUAUGUUCACCAUGAAUAACGGCCCCACCCAUAGAGAAG